AUUGGCUGUUAGCUGCUGCUCUUGAGCUCCAGAAAGAGCAACACUGCUUAGGUCCUGCAGUACUGGCCUACAGGUGU
rnacentral:hammerhead_ribozyme from 1 species